ensembl:lncRNA
CAAUUAGCAUCCAUCCCCAGGUUUUAACAUUACAUCGUGGCAGGAUGUUAAUGUGUACAGUAAUUAUAUGACUUAAAUGACUAUAAAUGGUGUUUGAUUCAUAUUAUAAUUAUUUAAUCUAACCUGCUAAUGUAAUAACUCAUAUUUAAUAACACACAGACUACAAUUCUAACACUAAACAUUACUACAUGUAUUGUAAUUUCUACUACUAUGUGUGCUCUACUGCUUGAAUCCGUAACAGCAGCACGAGCACGUUUCUACAGAACCAGAGUGACCUGAACGGGGUAGUGAAACCAAGACUGCAGGCUACACACACCCUGCAAGUACUUCAGCGUUAAGCGUUAAUGAAGCAGUCCUGGAACUAUCAUCAGUUGUAAGGAUUACAGGAACUUGGUGUCUCAGGCUCUGCUCUCUCCCUUCUCUCGUCCUACCUCGACGGCCGCACCUACCGAGUAACCUGGCGAGGAUCUGUGUCGGAACCUUGUCCUCUUACUACUGGAGUUCCUCAGGGUUCCGUCCUGGGUCCCCUCCUCUUCUCACUCAGAAGGCAGCGCAGGUACUUAUUCAGGCUCGUGUCAUCUCCCUCCUGGACUACUGUAACUCUCUCCUGCAGGUCUCCUGCUACCACCAUUCCACCUCUGCAGCUCAUCCAGAAUGCAGCAGCUCCACUGGUCUUUAACCUUCCUAAGUUCUCCCUCACUCCUCCACUCCUCCGCUCUCUUCACUGGUACCGGUGGCUUAUCCA